GUCGGAGGACGAUCUCCACAUAUACGGGCGUAUCGGAAUCUGAUCGGUGGUUUUAGGUCCGUUUCCAAUGGAAUCGAUGAGAAAACACAAUUACAGGAUCAGAUUUCCAGAUUGAACCAGGAGAAUGGCUCAUUGAAACAAAAUCUGACCUCAAAGAGGCUAGAACCGACAUUUCCAGGGGAUCAUCAAACAUCAUCAACGCUAUCAAGGACCUUGCAGAUAUGCUAGAAGAUAGAAGCAAAUCAAUGGCAGCUGUUCAAGCUACGGAGCUUGCAAAAGAACACCUUUUGGAAAAGGAGUGAAUCUUUCAAGGAGGAACUCGAGUCUCUGAGGUUAGAUAAGAACAAAACCUCCAUGGAAAUUAGCCAAAUGCGUAGUGAAUUGGAUGCAAAAUUACUUGAAUUCAAACACUUGCAGAUGAAGUUGAAUGGUCGGGACAGCCAUGGAACAUCUAAAAGAAGGAAAACAACGAGCUUAAGUUGAAACGAAGUGAGUUAGAAGCUGCUUUAGAAGAGAGCAGGAAACCAACCAGUAGCAAAGUAUUACCAGACGCCAUUCGAGUCUCUGAGUAGGCAUCCUAGUGUGGACAAGAAGCCUGAAAUCUUUCCUGGGAAAAAAGAAAUGGAGCAAUCCUUGCAGAGGUUGGAAACAUAUUUGAAGGAAACACGACGAGAAAGGGAUAAGGCACGACAAGAACUAAUACGGCUCAAACAACACUUGCUAGAAAAGGUAGAGGCGGCAUCCGGCUGAUGAUACCAGGCAUCUCCUUCAUGCUGCAGUAAUGAUAAUAAGAGUAUAGUAAAUCAAGCUUUCAUAGACGAGAAGGAGAAAGACGACAGAGGAAAUGUAUCAUUAGUGAUUCAACAUGCUAUUAGAUCCACAUACUCAUCCUCAACAACACAAUGUAGUACUGAUCCAACAAAGAAACGCCGUCAUAGAAUCAACAGAACCAAGUCUCACUAAUGGAGAUAUUGUUGUGUUUCUCUUCUAACUUUGGAUUCUUUAUGUUACAGUCUUUUGCGGAUCUAUGGGUUGAUUUCUUACUCAAAGACGCAGAAGAGCGGGAGAGAAGAGAAGAAGGAGAAGCAGCAGCGACUAAAGCCAAGCAAGAUUCCGAGAAGACAAGACAAGACGCUGCUUUGUCUGAUUCAGAGUUCUCGACAGUGCCCCUCAGAUCAUUCGAUAGUAAUCAAAGGCUCUCGAGACCACUUCCUUAAAAAAGAAGGUACACAGAUACAUACUUACAUUGAAAAUAAGAAUUCGAAUAUCUGUUGAGUCUUGUGUUGUAAUUAUGAUCUCAUACCUUUGUUUGUUGGUUAAUAUUCAAAUGGAAAAGGAAUGUUACAACUUUGUUCUUUUCUUUUGUUGAUGAUUUCUUGUGGGAGAAUUUGAAUGAAAAUCAAAAGAAAAAGUUACAUGAGCUAGAAAUUCUUCGGUAAGUAAGUGGAUCCGAAGAAUCUAUCAUCGUCGGAAUCGAUUACUACGCCGGACAGUCCUUCAAUGAUUCUUCUCAUUCCGGUUAGCCUUCUUCCUUUUCCUCUUGCGAGUCUCUGAGAUUAGGGUAUCGUGUAGAUGUGCUUUUUGGUCUCCGUAAUUUGGAUUCAGGGAACUUAUGCUUUAAAAUUGGAUAAUUGUGUUUUCUGUUUGGGAUAUAAAUUUGGGACAGUUGUUCAAUGAUUCUUCUCAUUCCAGUUAGGAUUCUUCCUUUCCUCUUGCUCGAGUUGAGAUUUGCCCGUAUGUUACUGUCUAAUCAUUUUCAGAAUUUAUUGUGUAUCGUUUCCGAUUAUUUGGAAUAAUUCAGUAGACUAAUGAUAUCAAGCAGACAAUAAGCAGGUUUAAUUAAAUCCUAAGGUUUCUUUCGUCAUCCUAAUCAAAUCCUAAGGUUUUGUUAUCACAAGGAAUGUUGUUCUGGAUGAUUUUUCCUUAAUGUAUCCUAGUCUAGAUGAUUCACUAAAUUUGAAGAACCUUGUGUUUUCAGAUGCUUGUCUUGCAUAUUUAGCUACACAAGGUAAGGCACCAACAUUUUUCUCCACUGUUGAUAUUAUUUUCUGUGAUUGCUUAGGAUGUACUGGAUGGUCUUCCUUCUUUGGUCAUGUUCUUAGUGUUUCUUUUGCUUUUCCAACUGUUGCCAGUUAAUGAUAAUGUGAAGGAUCCUGAUUCAUCUUUGAAGGAAUCACUGAAGGGCAAACUCAUUGACACAAGUGCUCCAAAGGCGUCAGAGCUUUCCAAUGAAGAUGAAUAUGCAACACUAGAGACGGAUUGAACUUCAGGGCCUUCAUUAACAUGGCUAAAAGAAGAAUAUGAUAGUCUUCCGUCUGUCAUCAAGUCUCUAGCCUCGUGGGAGAUAUGAAAAUUAUCCAAAUUCUUGUAUUAUGUCAAAUGUUCUUCUUCUUAGCUAAAAUUUAAGAACAUAUCCUAGAAUCAUAUUAAGAAUUGAACCAAUAAAUGCUUAACUCGAGAGCGAUGAAAAUUUCAUCUUUCCUA